rfam:Nocardioides luteus strain BAFB contig00034, whole genome shotgun sequence.
CUCGGUCCUCGGUAGUGACUCCCAGAUCGCGGCAUCUGCCGCGAAGGCUGAGGGUCUCGAUCGAAGACCGGC